GAUCAUGGCUCAGGAUGAACGCUAGCUACAGGCUUAACACAUGCAAGUCGAGGGGCAGCAUGGUCUUAGCUUGCUAAGGCUGAUGGCGACCGGCGCACGGGUGAGUAACACGUAUCCAACCUGCCGUCUACUCUUGGCCAGCCUUCUGAAAGGAAGAUUAAUCCAGGAUGGGAGUCAUGAGUUCACAUGUCCGCAUGAUUAAAGGUAUUUCCGGUUACGUACGAUGGGAGUG
rnacentral:rRNA from 1 species